CCGGUUUGUUCUCGUUCCAGGCAUGUGACCAGGGUCUCCCGCGGAGUUUUGCUGAGAAUUUUGGAAAUGAAGCAUGUGGAGCGCCUAUGUCGGGGGAGAGAGGCCGAGCUGAAGGAGCACGGGCGCCGGCCUCGGCCUCUGGGGAGCCGGGCCCGCUCGCCUCCCUGCGCGGGGCUAGCCCGAGCCUGGAACUCGGGAGGCCCAGGAGCGAAGUGAAAGCCCCUUCUGGUCCCCCAGGGCUCCACUCCCGCAGCAGCCCGGCUCCGUCGGCGUCAGUGGAGCCCCAGGCCUGGGUCCGAGAUGAGCGAGACGCUGCUCUGGCUCGCGGUCGCCCGAGCGCUCCCAAAACCAGGGAACAGGCCCCAGGAGAGAAGCCCCUAGAAGUUUCCUGGAGCAGGGAGUCUCCUGUAUCCUGUUAGCUCUGCAAAGGAAUCUGGACUUUAUUCUGAGGGCCUUGGAGAACCCCUGCAAAGUUUUUUAAAAGGUGGACUAAGAGAUUGGCAUUUCACAACAUGACUCUCCGAAUUGAAACACUAAGAAGAUUGGCGAAAUUUAACAUUUACAGAUUAGUAAUUUAACCCAGGUGACUCGCGAUGAGGGACAUGGCUACCCUUCACUUUUGGAGGGAGUUUUAAGUGAUACAGAUCUUUUUGCCAAGCAAUUUUUUUUUUUUUUUUGAGACGGAGCGUCGUUCUGUCGCCCUGGCUGGAGUGGAAUGCCGUGAUCUCGGCUCACUGCAACCUCCGCCUUCCUGAGUUCAAGCGAUUCUCCUGCCUCAGCCUCCCUAGUAGCUGGGAUUACAGGCGCGCGCCACCAGGAUCUGCUAAUUUUUUUGUAUUUUUAGUAGAGACGGGGUUUCACCAUGUUGGCCAGGCUGGUCUCGAACUCCUGACCUCAGGUGAUCCACCUGCCUCGACCUCGCAAAGUGCUGAGAUUAACAGGCGUGAGCCACCGCGCCCAGCAGCAAUUUAAAAAUCUAAUAAAAUUGUGCAUAUCCCCCAAAACAAUAAUGUCACUUGGUUGAUAGCCACAUUUGUUUACAAAGGCAUGUGCCAAGACUUUCACUGCAGCUUUGUCAGCAUUGCUAGAAGAUUUAAAACCCGAACACUUAAUGUUCAUCAAUUGAUAAGCUGUUUUAACAGUGAUAUACACGUAAUAUAGAA
rnacentral:lncRNA from 1 species